UACAGAGGGGGCAAGCGUUGUUCGGAAUUACUGGGCGUAAAGGGCGCGUAGGCGGCCUGCUAAGUCGAACGUGAAAUCCCUGGGCUCAACCCAGGAACUGCGUCCGAUACUGGUUGGCUUGAAUCCGGGAGAGGGAUGUGGAAUUCCAGGUGUAGCGGUGAAAUGCGUAGAUAUCGGGAGGAACACCAGUGGCGAAGGCGGCUUUCUGGCCUGUUCUUGACGCUGAGGCGCGAAAGCUAGGGGAGCGAACGGG
rnacentral:rRNA from 1 species